rnacentral:rRNA from 1 species
UACGGGGGGGGCUAGCGUUGUUCGGAAUUACUGGGCGUAAAGGGCGCGUAGGCGGCCUAUUAAGUCGGACGUGAAAUCCCUCGGCUCAACCGGGGAACUGCGUCCGAUACUGGUGGGCUCGAAUCCGGGAGAGGGAUGUGGAAUUCCAGGUGUAGCGGUGAAAUGCGUAGAUAUCUGGAGGAAUACCGGUGGCGAAGGCGGCAUCCUGGACCGGCAUUGACGCUGAGGAGCGAAAGCCAGGGGAGCAAACGGG